UACAGAGGGUGCAAGCGUUAAUCGGAAUUACUGGGCGUAAAGCGUGCGUAGACGGUAGCGUAAGUCGGGUGUGAAAGCCCCGGGCUCAACCUGGGAAUUGCAUUCGAGACUGCUCUGCUAGGGUGCGGAAGAGGGAAGCGGAAUUUCCGGUGUAGCGGUGAAAUUCGUAGAUAUUCGGAAGAACACCAGUGGCGAAGGCGACUUACUGGACACAUAUUGACGCUGAGGUGCGAAAGCGUGGGGAGCAAACAGG
rnacentral:rRNA from 1 species